CCUCCGGGUCCAGGACUUGCUUCUUAUUUGCUGGACGCUGAUCUCCCUGCAGCCCUCGGAGGCGGCGGCCGCGCUGCUUUCAUUUCGGGGCUGUCAUCACCAGAAACGCCAGCUGCCGGCCGCCCACCAGCUCGGCUCCAGCCAGGCGGUGCUCUCUACAAGGAUGUCUGACCUAGAGUGGAGAUGGAGUGACUGAGGAUGGAAAUCUAGUCUGAACUCAACUCUCCAAUUUGGCAGAAGACCUGUGUCUUACUCAGCUUUGUGUUCCUUACAUCUCUGUAGCACACGCUCCUCUGCGAAGGGGUUUCAUAAGGAACCCAGAGCCAAGACAAAGGAAUCAGGAGGAAGUCUAGCACAAUGGGAAGCCCCUGAAGGGUUUAAGCAGAAGACAAUAAAAGACUCCGAGAAGUGGCAGCAGGGAGUGGAGGAAAAAAAGCCUGGAAUUUACCCUGCUUUCUGCUCUGCACAUGGAAUGCCCCCUCCAUGUGUCCAUUGUCAUCCAAGGUGUUUUGACAGGUCUAGAGUGGGGUAAAAGAAUGGUAUUUAUUCAGGCCUAAUAUUGAGGCUUGGGGCUGGGCUGUAUAUCAGAGGGCAUGCAUAGACAAAGCUGAACAAAGGGGCACACCUACUGGGCACCUGCUGGGCACUUCUCUAAAACUGGCACUGAGACAUCAUUAGGAUGAAUUAGAACUAGGGCACCAGUUAACCCGGGCCUGCACACUAGUGAAAGGAAAAUUGCGCCUCUCCCCCGACCCCGCUCCAGACAACUGAAUGGUGACUUCAAGAACAAAUAUUCAGGCCGGGUGCGGUGGCUCACACCUGUAAUCCCAACACUUUUGGAGGCUGAGGUGAGUGGAUCACCUGAGGUCAGGAGUUCGAGACUAGCCUGGCCAACAUGGUGAAACCCUGUUUCUACCAAAAAUACAAAAAUUAGCUGGGCGUGGUGGCGGGUGCCAGUAAUCUCAGCUAGGAGGCUGAGGCAGGAGAAUCGCUUGAACCCGGGAGGCAGAGGUUGUUGAGAUGGUGCCAUUGCACUUCAGCCUGGACGACAAGAGCAUAACUCUGUCUCAAAAAAAAAGAAAAAGAAAAAAAAAGAACAAAUAUUCAAAGGAUAUUAAUUAGAAGGGGAGUGACAUUGUAGACCAGACCAUGCUCCAUCAUAUAAAAGCUGUAUUGUUGGCAAAGUUGUUGAGCAUCUCAUGGCCUCAUUUUCCUCGUCUGUAAACUAGUGCCUUGUCACACAAAUCUGUUAUGAGGAUUACAUGAGUGCCUAGGCAGAUGACAACUGUUAUGUAGCAAAUCUGUAGUGAGAAAUGAACCCAGAAUAUGCAGCACAAAAUGCCUCCUUAACUCCAUAGUCAAGUUAGGAAAAGAGAAAAGAAGAGGAGAGAAUGAACCUGUCCAUCAUAGAGAGAUCCCCACCCCCAUCCCCCUCUGCUGGCUACCAAGGUAAGGCAGACCUGCCCACAAGGCUGGAAGUUUCGGAAAGGUAAAGAAAGUCUAAACACAUGCACAUACAAACACUAUUACUUAACAUUUUAGUAAUAUUAAGUCAUAUAACAUUUGGUGCCCAGGGUAAACUUCCAUUUGAUUAGAGGUUCCGGUUAGGUUAGUAUCAUCUCAAAAUUUACCUAAUUUAGUCUUCUCAUCAACCUCUCAAAGUAGUGUCUGCAUAUUUGGAUAUCAUUAACCUGUAGUCAAAACCAGGAGAUGUUGUGGUUCAUACAUAUUUUGUACACAUAAAGAUUCGACUUCAAUUUCUGCAGAAUAAGGUCAUAGCACACUUAGUAUUUAAUGUAUUUAAAGACAUGUAUGCAAAGAGAAAACAUGACAGCAUUUACCUCAUGCCCCUUAGCAUGAAAGCAUACAACACUAAUGAUAACUUUAUUAUCCUAUUUUUGAAUACCACCAGCAACCCGAGAAAUUAUUUACGUUCAGAUACAAACAGGUCAAAUACAAAUGGCCCCAAUAGGAGCCAACUAUUAAUACAUAAUUAUAAAAUAUUAAGUCCCUUCUGAAGAAGCAAAAAAUGGCAUUUGCGGCUGGGCACAGUGGCUCCCGCCUGUAAUCCCAGCACUUUGGGAGGCCGAGGUGGGUGUAUCACCUGAGGUCAGGAGUUCAAGACCAGCCUGACCAACAUGGUGAAACCCCAUCUCUACUAAAAAUACAAAAUUUAGCUGGGUGUGGUGGCGGGCACCUGUAAUCCCAGCUACUCGGAAGGCUGAGGCAUGAAAAUUGCUUGAACCUGGGAGGUGGAGGUUGCGGUAGGCCGAGAUCCUGCCACCGCACUCCAGCCUGGGUGACACAGCAGGACUCCAUCUCAAAAAAAAAAAAAAAGGCAUUAACUUUGCAUAUUAUUAUUUACCAAAAAUGCAGAUACAUAAUGCUUAACAGUAUAAAAAACAAUUAUAUUUAUAUCAGUUGUCAUCACCCUUUAGAUUUGCCAUCUACAGGAGAACUAAGACAAUGUUGGUUCUUCCCUGUAUGAAUGAUAAUCUAGCAAAACAAAAAAAUAGAGCAUUCUCAUAGUUGUAUUAAAGUUAUUGGGUGAUACUCCUAUUAUUUGGUGAUAAAAAUUAAAUACCUUUUAUGGCUAGAGUGAAUAUUCCCACCAAUGUUACCAAUCUGAUACACAAAAAUAAAUAGUAGGGUUUAAGUAAUAAGGGAAAGAUCAACUUUUCCUCAAGAUACCAUUUAAUGUACGUAAUUAUUAAAACCUAUAAUUUUCAAAUCAAUGAAAUUGAGGAAAACUAGAAAUUUUGGAUAGUUUUUUAGUGCAUGCUACUUAAAUUUUAUGUUUUUUUCCUUCUAGGUGCUAAAAUUUUUUCUUUCUAGGUAUGACCAUGUUUAUAGUUACCUAUUAGCAAAGGUUGAAGGGCUGGGAAUUAGGAAACUCAUGAUUCUGCUUUUUAUUUUGAUCCCGAUCCUAUAACCUUGGACAUGUUAUUUAUCUACUAAAAGAAGAACACUAUUUCCCAUCCCCAAACUGCCUCAUCUCUUAGGGCAAGCCAAUCUUUGGUUUUCUAUACCACUGGGAGGAACCAUUGCAUAGGUAAAGCAGAACACUGAGUAAUAAAUUAUUCUGUGUAACUCUUUGGCAAACAUUAUUUAAUUUUUUGGCAACAGAUUCACCUUCUUGGUUAUGUUCUAAUAAAGCUCAUGUCAAGAGUAUCCAUGAAAACACACACUGUCUGACUGGCAGGAGAAGCUGACAUAGGACCAAAAAAUAAUUGGGGAUUAGAAAGCGAUAAAUCAAUAUAAAAACGAUCAAGCUGUCUACUGUGAAAUUAAUGAAGUAGUAUCAAAGUGCUUUGUUCAGCUUAGAGGAAAAGCAAUAGAAACCAUAUAACUAGACAAUUCUUGUAAACCAGGAAUAAACAAUAGUCACACGCCAGGUUAUUACAACUGAGAUUAAGGACAGUGGUCUAAGGAAUUAAGGAUAUGUUACAGCAUCACUUCAUUUGGAACUACCACUUUAAAAAGAAGUGUAUACCUCACUGAGCAUCACAGAUUUCACCUUCAAAGACUUCAAAAUGACCAUCUGUUCAUGGAGCUGUCUGGUACAGACCCCAGGUUUCUGCCUUUUAGAAGAUGGUGGUCUAAGCCCGACAACAGUGGAGCAGAAAAACCCAUACAUCACCUUCCCUCCCACAGACAAUGUCCGUACAGUAGUAGAAAAUGUGACUGUGAAGGAGCAAGUAUAUUUUAGAGGACAGAGAAAGUCUUACAAGGCGUGUUUUUAGAAAGGGUGGGAAAUCACCACCCUCCUUUGACCAGACAGGCAGGGCUUUGUGUAGGAGGGUGGGGCUGUCAGAAACUGUCUGAAUGAUGGAAGGCAGCAGCUUAGCAGGCUAGUGGGAAGAGCGACUCCAACUGCACGGCUCAGCUUAGGAGGCAGAAGUGAGGUCAAGAGUAAUGAUCUUUGCAGACCGUCCACAGGGGUGAGAUCACUCUGAGAAGCCCAAGGAAACAGAAGUGGAGGGUCACGAUUCUGACCCUCAGUGUUAGCUGUGGAGAAACUCAAGCUCAUGGUCAGAUAAACCCUGCUCCACCCAGUAAUGGCCUCAGUGAUCCACUUACGUGUUUGACCUAUUUCUUUCUCAUUUAUAAGGUACACAUGAUACUGCCCUUUACAUAAGGUUGUUUCAUGAUCUUAAAGGAGAUUAUGUAGAUGAAAGGGCUUUGUAUUCCCAGGGUGCUAAUAUUAGAUUCUCAGGACUCCCAUCAGUGUAAGAAUCAGACAAAUAAGAGGGUCAGUGGUCCCUGCUCAGCCCAUCGCCCUUAAAGACACAUGCUGGCACCUUCCCUCAUUGUAAUAGCCUGCUGGACUUUUAGUUUUGGGUUUAGGGACAUGCCAGGGGUGUCCUGCUGUUUAAGUGGCCAUUCAUCAACUCCAGGAAUGUGCUGGUGGUUUGCCUGAGUCUUAUCCAAAUGCCACUCUGGCCUUUGGAUAAAUACAGGAUGGGUGGCAACUGUGGUCAAAUUACUACUCCACCCUACCACAAGCCUUAUUUUCCACCUUCUUUGCUCCUCAAGGGAGUUUCCCCUUUUUCUUAUCCUUUAAAAUUAUUUUUAAAUAUUUAUUUGUCUAUGAAUUCUUAUAUCCUUACCUUGUAAGGAUAUAAAUUAUAUUGAUUUUCCCAUAUAUAAUUGAUAUUUUGUGUUCAUUACAACAAGGGGUAGCAGAAGUGUUAGGGAAGGGACAUGGAGGUGGGCCUUCACCAGACUUCUGGAUGAAAGAUGAGAUGACUAGACAAUUCCAAUAGUGAGAAAUGUAUUAGGAAAAAGGCUGAAUACAGAAUAAGCACAGCAAUAUGCUCUGCUUUGGCUUUAUAUCUACACUUCCAGAGGAGGAAACUGAAAUUUAUCAGGGUAGGUCCCACAGCGGAGUAAUGACAGUAACAGUAACAGUGAUUACUACUGGUCCUGUGAUAACACCAAGAUUGGAACUCCGAUCUGGUGCUAAGCCAGUGAUGUCCAACAGAAAUGCAAUGCGAACCACACACGCAGUGUUAAAUUUUUAAGUAGCUACAUUAAAAUAAACAACAAGCAGGUGAAAUUAAUUUUAAUAAUCUGUUUUGUUUAACCCAAUAUGCCAAAAAUCAUUUCAAGAAUUAAUGAAUAUAAAAAAUAUUAGUGAGAUAUUUAAUAUUUUUUGUACCAAAUAGUUGGAAUCCAGUGGGUAUUUGACAGCACAUCUGCAUUUGGACUAGCCACAUCCAUCUUGCAGCUAUUGUACACAAUAUUGUACACAAUAGCUACAAGUGGCUAAUGGCUCCCUUAUUGGACAGUGUAGUCUAGCAUGUUCCUAAGUAUUUUUGUGCCAUGAGGCCUUUUGGCAGUCUGGCGAAGCCCAUGAGUUCCUUCUCAGAAUAAUGUGUUUACACGAAUAAAAUGUGGAAGACACAGGGUGACAAAGGAAGCAAUUAUUUUGAAACAUAGUUAUUCAACUAUUUAAAAAAACACAAAAUUGUGGUAUUGUAUAUACCUGCUUCUUCAAAUAGUGCUUUAAAUAACAUUAUCCAGAGGCGUAAUAAUCAUAAGAAAUUUUAAAUAAAAUAAUGAUCAUAAAUAAUAUUUCAAUAUGCCUAAAGCAACUGUAGUGAUGAUGAAAAUAUCUGUGACUUCAACUGAUAGCAAAUUAACUUUGAGUUGUGGAGUUAAUUUGGUGGGUCAAACCAAGACACUUUCCUAAUGACAUAGAAUAGGAGGGAAUACAUUAGAGGGCAUCAUUCACAGUCGGGUUGAGUACUGUUUCAUGAAACCUCUGUUAUAUUUGUAUGUAUACAUACACACGGUUAAAUACUGGGUUGCAAUGUAAAAUGUACUUUAUAUUGCAAGUCAUGGUUUUAAAAAGUUUGAAAUCUUCAUACUCUGCUAGUGAGAAUGCAAAACGGUUUAACUACUAUGGAAAGAAUUUGAUGGUUCCUCAAAGAGUUAAACAUAGAAUUAGCAUACGACCCUGUAAUUUCACUGUGUACACAUGCCUCAAAGAAAUGAAAACAAGUUAUCAAACAAGUAUAUGUACAUGCAUGUUCAUACAUAGCAGCACUAUGCAUAAUAGCUCAAAGUCUUCAAUGUCUGUCAAUGGAUCAAUGAAUAAACGAAAGGUGGCAUAUAUAUGUAAUGGAAUAUUAUUAAUCCAUAAAAAGGAAUGAAGUUUGGGAACAUGCUACAACAUGGAUGAACCCCCAAAAUGUUAUGCUAAUUGAAGAAGGCUGGAUACAAAAAGGUCACAUAUAGUAUGAUUCUAUUUAUAAGAAAUAUCCAGAAUAGGUAAAUCCAUAGAGACAGAAUGCAGAUCAGCUGUUGCCAGGGGCUACGGCGAGUGAAGAACUGGGAGAAUCUGCUUAAUGGUGAAGGGGUUUUUACUUUGGAGUGAUGGAAAUGUGCUGGAACUAGAUAGAAGUGGUGGUUGUGUAACACCAUGAAUGUACAAAAUGUCACAGAAGGGUCACCUUAAAAUGGUUAAUUAUAUGUUGUUUCACUGCAAUAAAUUAUUCUUAUUUUUUAAGUUUGAA